GAUGAACGCUGGCGGCGUGCUUAACACAUGCAAGUCGAACGAAACACCUUAUUUGAUUUUCUUCGGAACUGAAGAUUUGGUGAUUGAGUGGCGGACGGGUGAGUAACGCGUGGGUAACCUGCCCUGUACAGGGGGAUAACAGUCAGAAAUGACUGCUAAUACUGCAUAAGACCACAGCACCGCAUGGUGCAGGGGUAAAAACUCCGGUGGUACAGGAUGGACCCGCGUCUGAUUAGCUGGUUGGUGAGGUAACGGCUCACCAAGGCGACGAUCAGUAGCCGGCCUGAGAGAGUGAACGGCCACAUUGGGACUGAGACACGGCCCAAACUCCUACGGGAGGCAGCAGUGGGGAAUAUUGCACAAUGGGGGAAACCCUGAUGCAGCGACGCCGCGUGAGUGAAGAAGUAUCUCGGUAUGUAAAGCUCUAUCAGCAGGGAAGAAAAUGACGGUACCUGACUAAGAAGCCCCGGCUAACUACGUGCCAGCCGCCGCGGUAACAC
rnacentral:rRNA from 1 species